rnacentral:lncRNA from 1 species
UUCCUUUGAGAGAUGGCGAUGCUUGUUUUUGAUUGGGCUACUUCAAUCCCAAGGAAGUACCGCAAUCGACCCAAGUCUUUAGUUUGGAAGUAUUGAAACAAGUGCUGCUUUAGGCCUUUGAUAUCGUCAUGAUCAUCACUUGUAAUGACAAUAUCAUCCACGUAGACCAUAAGGCAGAUGCAUAGAUUAGAGGAUGAAUGUUUAUAAAAUACAGAGUAAUCUGCCUCACUACGGAUCAUGCGAAAUUGUUGUAUGACUUUACUAGAUCUUCCAAAACAUGUCCGGGGAGACUGCUUAAGGCCAUAUAGCGAUUUGUGUCUCUCCCUGAGCAACAAAUCCAGAUGGUUGCUCCAUAUAAACUUUCUCCUUCAAGGCACUAUGUAGAAAGGUAUUUUUAAUGUCUAGCUGAUAUAUAGAUCAAUGGUUCAUGGCAGCUAUUAAUAAGAAGAGCCGGAUAGACGCCAUCUUAGCAACAGGAGAGAUUGUGUCUCCACAAUCAAGACCAAAGAUCUGAGUAUAACCUUUAGCUACAAGACGUGCUUUCAAACGAUCCACCUAUCCAUCAGGGCCCACUUUAAUAGUAAAAAUUCAUCGACAAUCAACUGUAGAUUUUUCAGGAAGGAAAGGAACAAGAGUCCAUGUAUUAUUGGAUUUCAAGGUUGCCAUCUCAUCAAUCAUUGCCUGACGCUAUCCUGGAUGGGAAAGUGUUUCCUGGAUAGUUUUAGGAAUAGAAACGGAAGACAAGACAGAAACAAAGGCAUAAUGAGAUGAAGAUAAACGAUGAUAGCUCAAGAAAUUAUAAAUAGGAUGAGGAUUACGAGUAGAGCGUAUACCUUUAUGUAGAGCUACAGGCCAGUCAGUGGAAUGCUCAGGUAAGCCCAGGACAGGUGGAGAUGUUGGAGCAGAAAAUGAAUCAUCUGAAUCUUGAGUGGGAACAGUCUCCGAAAUCUCAGGUUGUGGUCGACGUUGAUAAGUGAUAAGUGGGCGUGGUGAGGAAUGUAUCGGUUUAGCAGGCGGAGUAGGAGGUUCGGGAGAAACAGAGACAGGCAGAUCAAGGUAGGGAAUCGGUAAGAGUUAAGAGAUGGAUUCAGGCUCCACUGAUGAGCUAAAAUAAGGUGUGUCCUCAAAAAAGGUGACAUAUGUAGACAUGUAAAAUCGAUGUGUAAGAGUUAAGAGAUGGAUUCAGGCUCCACUGAUGAGCUAAAAUAAGGUGUGUCCUCAAAAAAGGUGACAUAUGUAGACAUAUAAAAUCGAUGUGUAGGAGGAGAAUAACAUCGAUAUCCCUUCUGAAUUUGAGAGUAACCAAGAAAAAUACAUUUAAUAGCACGGACAGACAGUUUAUCAAGAUUUGGAGAAAGAUCAUGCACAAAACAGGUAGAUCCAAAAAUACGAGGGGGAA